ensembl:misc_RNA
UUGACUUUCCUAGAGGAUUUCAGUCUGUGCUUAUCCACAGAAACAGUACAGGAUGGGCAGCAGCAGUGCGAACUUCCUCAGAUUACCCUACUAAUGUGCUUCAAACCUGAUUUUUGGGGGCCAUUGUAGGAACAUGAGGGUAGCUCCAACUCCAUGUUCAUUCAGACCUUUGGUGAG